AUUGCGCCUGCGCCUCGCGGGCCCCGCCCCGAAACCUGUCCGGGGAGCUCACAGCGCUUGACUAGGGAAGGGGGCGUGGCUGCGCGCGCUUCCACGGGGACUGUCUCCCACCGCGCAGCCUGGCUUUGGGAGGCGUAGCGAAGGCUUCUGGUUCCGCAUCUGGCACUUUGGAACUAUACUUCCCUCCGCUGCUGUGUCAAUGUCCGAGGCCCCCCUCCCCAUACUCUCCUUCAGAGAACCAAAUGAAACAUCCACCCUUUAUUUUUCUUUGUCAUUCAUUCAUAAAGCUCCAUUUUAUAUUCGCCAGGUUCCAGGCCUGGUUCUGAGUACUAAGGAAAAACAACUGAAUAAAAAUAAGGCCUUUAUUCUCAAGAGCACAGGAUUAGCAAGCAAACCAAAUACAAGCAGUACGCUGCUGAAGACCAUCGGUGAGACGCAGCUCACACACAGUGUGCACAGCUCAUCCUACCAUUAAAGUGGUAUAUGAUGUGCAAGUAUCAUUACUCUUUCAAAUCGGGGCCGGAAUGGUACCUGGAAAUGGGAAAUAAAAUGAUUCAAAAGAGAGAGCCUAAAACCCAGAGGUCCAAGCCAAGGACCAAGAAUAAUCACUCAGGAAGCAUCACUGUGCUCUUAUCAAGCAGGCUUGGUGCCAUGUGCCUGAGUGGAUUUCAGAAUUGCCAUGGAAUCUGUGAUUUUUUUUUUUUUACCUUUGUUCCUUCCCUUUUUUGGAUAGACCUGUCUAUUAUAGGCAAUCUCUGUCUCACCAUCAGAGCCUGAGAAAAAUAUUUUCUUUAAUCCACAGGCUCUAUAAUAAUUAGAAACUCUACCCAUAAAUCUGUAUUCAAGGAACCUCACCUGAGGGACUAUAGGUAGACUUGUGCUUUGUGUCCCCAAAAUAAAAAUGCUGAAUCCCUUAAA